UAUUACCCUCCCUAGACCCCACUUGUGAGAUUAUACUGAGUCGUUGUUGUUGUUAUUGUUUGAUUCAGGAUUGCCGUGCUGUGGCACGAUACGUGUCAAUUUUGCAACCAGGGAUGGCCUUGUGCUGAUUUUACUCCAUUUUUUCCGGUACAUAUCCUUUUAAAUUCUAUGUGGGAAAGAAGACGAAUAAAUGAAGAUUGAAUUGUAAUAAUAUCUUUGAGUUCUUUAAUUAAAAACUCAUUUUCGUUUCUGGAUCGAAUAAGUAAGUAUAUGUUGAUAGAAUGACUGUAAGCUAAUUUAUCUUUUAUUGAAGACUGUAUAAGUGUUGUAACAAGGUUAAUUUUUUUUAAAACUUUCAUUAAA